rnacentral:rRNA from 1 species
AGUAAUCCUGCUUAGUACGAGAGGAACCGCAGGUUCGGACAAUUGGUACACGCACUCGGUUGACACGCCGCUGGUGCGACGCUACCAUCCGAGGGAUUAGGCCUGAACGCCUCUAAGACCGAAUCCCGACUAUACGCAACGAUAUAACGAUGGGUCCCGUGAGUCGAGAGGCUCAAUGCAAUGUGACUCUAUUAGGUGGUCGGUCUCG